AUGUCCUUAGCUCAGUCAUAGAGCAUUUGACUUCGGAUCAAGAGGUCACUAGUUUGAACCUAGUAGGGCCCU
rnacentral:tRNA from 1 species